rnacentral:rRNA from 1 species
UACGGAGGGGGCAAGCGUUGUUCGGAAUUACUGGGCGUAAAGGGCGCGCAGGCGGCUGCUCAAGUCAGGCGUGAAAGGCCUGGGCUCAACCCGGGAAUUGCGCUUGAGACUGGGCUGGCUUGAGUGCGGGAGAGGAGAGUGGAAUUCCCCAGUGUAGAGGUGAAAUUCGUAGAUAUUGGGAAGAACACCGGUGGCGAAGGCGGCUCUCUGGACCGAGACUGACGCUGAGGCGCGAAAGCGUGGGGAGCAAACAGG